GAUCUGGCUCAGGACGAACGCUGGCGGCGCGCCUAACACAUGCAAGUCGAACGGGGUUAUACGGGAUGAAGUUUUCGGAUGGAAUUCUAUAUAACCUAGUGGCGGACGGGUGAGUAACACGUGAGCAACCUGCCUAUCAGAGGGGGAUAACGAUUGGAAACGAUCGCUAAUACCGCAUGACAUAGCGAAACCGCAUGGUUUUGCUAUCAAAGAUUUAUCGCUGAUAGAUGGGCUCGCGUCCG
rnacentral:rRNA from 1 species